GUUGCUGUAUGUUGGCUUCAUACACAGUUUACAUACUAAAGAAUUUAUCAGCAUUAUCAAAUAAAUGGUUUUCAAUCCAUUGAAAGGAAGCCAUGUUUGUUGCAAUAUGUUGUUUGUGGUAGACACUGGAAAAAAACCUACUAUUGAAUGUGUAUUUAUUUGUCUCCUGGUACAAAACUGAUGGAAGAGCAGCCAUGAUGAAGCAGUAAAAAGGUUCUUGGAUACCUUGCUUCAAUACCUCCGGUUGGACAAGAAAAGACCUGGCUAAGGAUAGUAGAGCUUCAAAUAAUUUAUCACCAAGAAAGUUACUGAUUUAAACCAAAUCCUGUAACGCGAAAGAUUCUUAAUUAAGCUAAGUGUGCAAUAUUAGGUCAGUUAAGAUACCUCCAUGGUUAAGACGAAAGUAAUGCAUAAUAGGUUUAUUUUGAAAUCUAGACAUAGUAGCUGUUGUUAUAUUACAAAAACUCUGA
rnacentral:lncRNA from 1 species